rnacentral:rRNA from 1 species
AACGAACGCUGGCGGCAUGCCUAACACAUGCAAGUCGAACGAGACCUUCGGGUCUAGUGGCGCACGGGUGCGUAACGCGUGGGAACCUGCCCUUAGGUUCGGAAUAACUCUCCGAAAGGGGUGCUAAUACCGGAUAAUGUCUUCGGACCAAAGAUUUAUCGCCUUUGGAUGGGCCCGCGUUGGAUUAGCUAGUUGGUAGGGUAAAAGCCUACCAAGGCGACGAUCCAUAGCUGGUCUGAGAGGAUGAUCAGCCACACUGGGACUGAGACACGGCCCAGACUCCUACGGGAGGCAGCAGUGGGGAAUAUUGGACAAUGGGCGAAAGCCUGAUCCAGCAGGGCCGCGUGAGUGAUGAAGGCCUUAGGGUUGUAAAGCUCUUUUACCCGGGAUGAUAAUGACAGUACCGGGAGAAUAAGCUCCGGCUAACUCGGU